UACGUAGGGGGCAAGCGUUGUCCGGAUUCAUUGGGCGUAAAGAGCGUGUAGGCGGCCAGGUAGGUCGGUUGUGAAAACUGGAGGCUCAACCUUCAGAGGUCGACCGAAACCAUCUGGCUAGAGUCCGGGAGAGGAGAGUGGAAUUCCUGGUGUAGCGGUGAAAUGCGCAGAUAUCGGGAGGAACACCAAUUGCGAAGGCAGCUCGCUGGGACGUCACUGACGCUGAGACGCGAAAGCGUGGGGAGCAAACAGG
rnacentral:rRNA from 1 species